AUUUCCUUCAACUUGCUUUUGUCACAGUUUUGGUUUAAAGCAGAAAUAACCCUCCUGCUAUUCUGUGGAAAUAUCAAAACCUUAUUGAUUGACAAUAUGCAAAAAUCUCAGUUCGUAAAACCAUCUGAAUACUGCGGCGUUGCCCCAAGGUGGUGGUCAGCGUCGAUAAGGGUGGAAGCCCUGUACGUUGUGAUUCUGCCCUCUGCCAAACGCAGUGGCGGCAGGCUGGGGGGCGGCGGAGGGUUGUGCCGUCGGAGCCCCGUACGUGGCUGUCGGCUGGUUGGGGUCUGCGAAGCUGUGGCCGAAGGCUGUCAGGUCUUGCCCGUACCCUGAGGAGGACAACAGAGGGGAUAACAGAAAGGACAGGGGCCACAGAGAGACAAGGAUAUUAAUGGCAGGUUCACCAGAAGGUCUUAGGGAGAAGCCUUAACUGCUUUAAAAGUAAAAUGUUAAGGGAAAAUCCACCCCCUUACCCUGAUAUUAUGCAGUGCAAUUAUUAUGUUUAGUUAAAUUUUAAAAUUUUUGGUGAACAACAAUAGUGCUGUGAAACUCUACUGCAGCUGUUGUUAAGUGUUGGUACGUCACAUCAAAAUGAUUCUCAUAAUCACGCUGCCUUCUUGUUCAAAUUUUACCAAUUUUGUCACAGGAUCUACUUUAUCACCAGCCUUUAAUACCCAUUAAUGUUUUACCUGAUAACUGCUAGAUUAGAUACAUUUAAUAGGCUUAUCUGCAGUUUUUUAUACCAUUUUCUGUAAUUACAUCUUGACUAAAUCUAAAAAAAAAAUCAAAGAUUUAUUUCUAAUUAUUGUUUGUUUGUCUUAGGGAUCUGAGAUGUGUUUGGGAGAAAGUGCUGUAAAAAAUGAACACCACCACCAAACAACUAAAAUGGACCAAGCAAUAAAAUGUGCACUCUGAACAAUAGUU